GACGAACGCUGGCGGCGUGCUUAACACAUGCAAGUCGAACGGUGAAGCGCCUUCCUUUUUGGUGGGUGUGGAUGAGUGGCGAACGGGUGAGUAACACGUGAGUAACCUGCCCCCUUCUUCUGGAUAACCGCAUGAAAGUGUGGCUAAUACGGGAUAUUCUGGGUCUGUCGCAUGAUGGGUCUGGGAAAGAUAUUGUUUCGGUGGGGGAUGGGCUCGCGGCCUAUCAGCUUGUUGGUGGGGUGAUGGCCUACCAAGGCGGUGACGGGUAGCCGGCCUGAGAGGGUGGACGGUCACACUGGGACUGAGACACGGCCCAGACUCCGACGGGAGGCAGCAGUGGGGAAUAUUGCACAAUGGGCGAAAGCCUGAUGCAGCGACGCCGCGUGAGGGAUGGAGGCCUGCGGGUUGUGAACCUCUUUCGCCAGUGAAGCAGGCCUGCCUCGUUUGUGGGUGGGUUGACGGUAGCUGGAGAAGAAGCGCCGGCUAACUACGUG
rnacentral:rRNA from 1 species